UUCCCACCAACCUCUCUCAAA
rnacentral:piRNA from 1 species